CAUUUGGCUCCAAGUCUCUAUUAAGAAAUGAUUCAAAAUAAGAUUUUUGUCCCAUGAAGUUGGCUCCUUUGUUACUCUCUAUCCUUCUGGUUUCUUGGAAAGUGGCACAGCCUCUAAGGACUCUCAGAGAAAUUUACUCCAUUUUGCUGACUCACGUGUAAAGACCACAUCAGCAUCAGCAUUACUUGGGAGCCUGUAAGAAUGAAGAAUCUGAACCAGCAGUUGCAUGGUUGUUAAGGCUCUGGACUCCCAGAUGGAUAAAUGUGGUUGAAGUCCUGGACCUGGUGGCUUGAAAAUCUCCUGGGUGCAUGUGAGUUUUUUUCAAGGAUCCUUUUGGGUUUUAUAUGAAUAUAAUCAUGUCAUCUGCAAAUAGAGGUUGAACCACCCUUGCAUCCCUGGAAUAAAGCCAAAC